rnacentral:rRNA from 1 species
GUCGUCAGCUCGUGUCGUGAGAUGUUGGGUUAAGUCCCGCAACGAGCGCAACCCUUAAGCUUAGUUGCCAUCAUUAAGUUGGGCACUCUAAGUUGACUGCCGGUGACAAACCGGAGGAAGGUGGGGAUGACGUCAAAUCAUCAUGCCCCUUAUGAUUUGGGCUACACACGUGCUACAAUGGACAAUACAAAGGGUAGCGAAACCGCGAGGUCAAGCAAAUCCCAUAAAGUUGUUC